rnacentral:rRNA from 1 species
UACGAAGGGGGCGAGCGUUGUUCGGAUUUACUGGGCGUAAAGGGCGCGCAGGCGGCGCAUUUUGUCAGGCGUGAAAGCCCCGGGCUUAACCGGGGAACUGCGUCUGAUACUGGAUGGCUAGAGAUUGGGAGAGGGAUGCGGAAUUCCAGGUGUAGCGGUGAAAUGCGUAGAUAUCUGGAGGAACACCGGUGGCGAAGGCGGCAUCCUGGACCAACACUGACGCUGAGGAGCGAAAGCCAGGGGAGCAAACGGG